rnacentral:rRNA from 1 species
GUACAGCGGCGCACGGGUGAGUAACACGUUGGGUAAUCUGCCCUGUGAGUGGGGAAUAACACCGGGAAACCGGUGCUAAUACCGCAUACGAUCACAGAGUCUGCGGAUUUUGUGAUGAAAGGAGCAAUUCGCUCUAGGAGGAGCCCGCGGCUGAUUAGCUAGUUGGUGAGGUAAUGGCUCACCAAGGCAACGAUCAGUAUCCGGUCUGAGAGGACGGUCGG